AACAGUCAGCUCAGAACUGGUA
rnacentral:snRNA from 1 species